UACGUAGGUCGCAAGCGUUGUCCGGAUUUACUGGGCGUAAAGAGCGCGCAGGCGGCUGGUCAAGUCCGAUGUGAAAUCUCCCGGCUCAACUGGGAAACUGCAUCGGAAACUGAUCGGCUUGAAGAUGGGAGAGGGUAGUGGAAUUCCCGGUGUAGUGGUGAAAUGCGUAGAUAUCGGGAGGAACACCAGUGGCGAAGGCGGCUACCUGGACAGAAACUGACGCUGAGGCACGAAAGCUAGGGGAGCAAACAGG
rnacentral:rRNA from 1 species